GGGGCUAUGGUGUAGUGGUAGCACGCCCAACUUAAAAUUGGUUUGUCCUGGGUUCGAUCCCCAGUAGCUCCA